rnacentral:lncRNA from 15 species
UGAGUCGCGUUUAUUUAGUGAAAAUGUGAUGUAACACCUAGGUAGGAUGUUUGAUCAAAGACAGCUGAAGCUGAACUGUUGAAACGUCUUCUAAUCAUGGAUUCUAGCUAAAGGCGUCAUCCUCGGCUCCCCUGACGCAAGGCAGAAGGGUUGAAAAUCGGUGUCACCUUCCCUGGAAUGCAACUGCCAGGAGAGGUGUGAAAUCCUCCACCCGACCUGGUCCUAACCCUUUCACUGCCAGACUGGACAUGAAAACUCUUGAAAACCUUGACAUUGUUGUCUCAAUUGUGUCAACACAAAGCCCUGUCCCUCGUCAUUUUUAAUAUUUGACUGCCAUUUCCAGAUGCCCCUUGAACCUGUGAAGUAAUCUAUUUCAAGAAUGGGUGUUGUGGAGAUUGUGUUUGAUAUUAUUGCUCAUAUUCAUUUCAUAUUGUCUUUUUAAUGCUUUGCUUUUAUGCAGCACUUCAUUAAACAGAUUUAUGUAAAAAGUACGUAGCUGAUACUGACACAAGCCACUGAGUUCUGAGAUUUCAGCCUCCUGCACUGUUCUUGAAGGUAACCAGCCCAAGGCUGGUGCUAUUUAGUCAGUGGUUGUGAAUUAAGCUACAAUUAAAUGUCUUCAAAAAGGAAAAAAAAGAACCCAUCGAUUAGCUGCCCGUCUACUUGUUGUUAACCUUUUGUUUACAAGUGUUCUCACAAAAGUAGUAUUGAUGUGGAUAAAUAAUCAUUAGCAGAGAAUUAGGAUGGUGUGCACAUUUAACCUCAGUUGGGUACAAGGUGCCGGACAUAAGCAGCAUAUGGUAAAAGUUAAGUAGUGCACCCAGUGAAUAUGGCAAACUCCCAAGAAGUUGUAAGGCAACAUCUCAACCAUCAAAGUCUUUAUCAGGCAAACAUCCACAUUAGAGAAAACCGAAACUGACAAGAAGAAUUUGAGGAACACAUAAGCCAAAAAGUUAUCCACUAUAUACACAAACUCACAUGGCAACUAUGCUAAAACUGUCUAAAAACCUAUGCAGGGUAUAUGUAUAUAUACAGUAUAAUACACAUUUUUGACAAAUGUACAAUAUUGUGAUUGUGCAUGAGAAAAUCAAUUUGUAAAUAGUCUUAGUUUUUUGUGAUCUCCUCGUUGUAGGUGGAG